rnacentral:rRNA from 1 species
CAGUCGCCGCGGGAAUACGAAGGGGGCUAGCGUUGCUCGGAAUGACUGGGCGUAAAGGGCGCGUAGGCGGCUUGCACAGUCAGAUGUGAAAUUCCUGGGCUUAACCUGGGGGCUGCAUUUGAUACGUGUGGGCUAGAGUGUGAAAGAGGGUCGUGGAAUUCCCAGUGUAGAGGUGAAAUUCGUAGAUAUUGGGAAGAACACCGGUGGCGAAGGCGGCGACCUGGUUCAUGACUGACGCUGAGGCGCGAAAGCGUGGGGAGCAAACAGGAUUAGAUACCCCCGUAGUCCCUGUCUCUUAUAC